rnacentral:RNase_P_RNA from 1 species
CGAGUCGGCUGUGCGGUCGCCUGCGGCUUGUACGCAGGAGGAAAGUCCGAGCUUCACAGGGCAAGGGCGCUGGUUAACGACCAGGUGUCGCGAGACAACGGAAAGUGCAGCAGAAAGUAUACCGCCUGGGCGCCGCAGGCGUCCCGGUAAGGGUGAAAAGGUGGUGUAAGAGACCACCGCUCCGAAAGUGAUGGAGGAGGCAAGGUAAACCCCGUCCGAAGAAAGACAAAUAGGAAAACACCCGGACAACUGUCCGGGCAGGGCGACCCGUCCUGGUUUUCGGGUAGUCGCUUAAGGUAUCCUGGCAACAGGUAUCUCAGAUGGAUGCUCGUACUUGCCAGAACUCGGCUUCCAGGCUGAC